rnacentral:rRNA from 1 species
CCUACGGGGCUGCAGUGGGGAAUAUUGGACAAUGGGGGGAACCCUGAUCCAGCCAUGCCGCGUGUGUGAAGAAGGCCCUCGGGUUGUAAAGCACUUUCAGUGAGGAAGAACGCCUGGUGGUUAAUACCCAUCAGGAAAGACAUCACUCACAGAAGAAGCACCGGCUAACUCCGUGCCAGCAGCCGCGGUAAUACGGAGGGUGCGAGCGUUAAUCGGAAUUACUGGGCGUAAAGCGCGCGUAGGUGGCUUGAUAAGCCGGUUGUGAAAGCCCCGGGCUCAACCUGGGAACGGCAUCCGGAACUGUCAAGCUAGAGUGCAGGAGAGGAAGGUAGAAUUCCCGGUGUAGCGGUGAAAUGCGUAGAGAUCGGGAGGAAUACCAGUGGCGAAGGCGGCCUUCUGGACUGACACUGACACUGAGGUGCGAAAGCGUGGGUAGCAAACAGGAUUAGAUACCCCAGUAGUC